rnacentral:lncRNA from 1 species
UGUGGUUGGAGGGGAUGCCUGCUGGGUCUGGUUCUCAUUGUGCUCGUAUCUCGCUGCAUUUCGUUUACUACGGUCGCAAUCACGCCGCUGCAGGCGGACCCAGAGCAGCCCCCCCCCCCCACACACACACACACACACACACACACACACACACACACACACACACACACACACACACACACACACACCAAACAACCAGCAUCCGCUCCGCGCAGGGAUAGAAACAGAACAACAACCGAACACACGCCCAGCCUGCGAGCGGUGAGUGUUCUGGAAAUCAACCGCCGUGACACCAGAGACAACGGGCCGAGAACCAGGCACGCGUCCACACAAGCGAGCAGGCACCGCCGCACACGCAAACACGUGCAUAAACACACACGCGAGCAUGCACCAUCACACACACACACACCCAAACGCACACGCAGAAAUGCACACACAAAUGCAAGCACACACCUGACUAAAAGCUGUUCUGGCUAUGGGGUGUUAUUUGGGGGGCAAGUUAUUAUCGUCGUUAUCAUCAUCAUCAUCAUCAUCAUCAUCAUCAUCAUCUGUCUUGCUUCCAAUACGUAUUAUCUUCCAAUUCUUCACAUGCUAGCAGAGCCAGACUCCCUGUGUAUAAAUAAGAGCUCCUGCAAAAUGGGCUCGACCGACACACACACACACACAGACACACACACACACACACACACUGGACCCACCCAACAAUGCCCUAAUCCAGCGUUUGUCCCCUCCUUUCGUUCUCCAAGAUGUUUUCAGUUGUCAAUAACCAUACUGGGAACUGUUUGCGCGUCAGGCCCAGUCAGGGACAGAUCCACCAUUGUGUUCCCAGUAAGAGUAUCCAUCGCUCCCACAGCAGGAGUGGAUCGGAGCCCUGUUGGCUCGCCACCGUGCCACGGGUUUUACAUUUUAUACGGAAAUCCAAAACAACAGCGGCCUGCGGUCGCGCUUGGAAAACACACGUAUUAUCAUUCUCCAGAGCCCGGACAUACAUCCUGUGUGAUCGGACAGAAGGACGCUGUUAGCAAUGGGAUACAUCGGGAUGAUAAAACGAUUGUUCAGUCUUCUCGAGAGAAGUUCGGUCACGGGCGUGUUGUCACGACGACAUGUUAUUUUGAUCGAUGCGUUCCCCUUUCGAUACGGCACAUACCCUCUUCGGAGACCGUUUGCGUGUAA